rnacentral:rRNA from 1 species
AGAGCUAUGUUUUCAAGGCGCCCAGGCGCUUUAAGGCGCUGGGGGGGCGCCUCAACGCCUAGGCGCUCAAAGCGCGAGGCGAGGCGACGCCUUAGACACUUAUUAUUAGGCGGUAGGGGUACUAAUAUGGCGGAGGAGCUUGGCUGGAGAGGGGGAGGACCGGCGGAGAUGGAUCUUGGCCGGAGAGGGGAAGGGCCUGUGGAGGAGGAGCUUGGCCGGACAGGGGGAGGCCGGCGGAGGAGUAGCGGAUCUGGGCCGGCGGCGUGAGAGGAGAGAGCUCCUCUCUCUUUUCCCCUCGAUUUGGAGUCACGGGUGUGUUCCCCUCUCUCUCCUGCCUCUGUUUACCCCCUCUCUCCCGCCCAAUUUCUCUUCCCUCCCGCCAAUUCCUCUUUCUGGCGCGCGCCAGCUGCUGGUUCCCGCUCAACCUGCCCACGCAUGUCCAGGGCGUCCAAAAUCAACUAAAGCGGCGCCUUAUCCGCCUAGGCGACGCCUUGGACGCCUCAACAGCAGAAGGCGGACGCCUUAGACAGAAAACUAAGGCGACGACGACGCCUUGACGUCCCCGAGCGCUCUGACGCCUAAGCGUCGCCUAGGCGACGCCUUGAAAACAUAGG